rnacentral:pre_miRNA from 1 species
CCACACCAUAUUUGGCCUUGAGGCCACCACAUUUCUGGCAAAUAUGGGAAAUGGUGUUUGUUCCCAUAUUUGCCAGAAAUGUGGUGGCCUCAAGGCCAAAUAUGGUGUGGA